rnacentral:rRNA from 1 species
CGCCUGUUUAUCAAAAACAUCUUUUCUCGUUAGUUUUUGAAGUAUGGCCUGCCCACUGACUUGAGUGUUGAAGGGCCGCGGUAUUUUGACCGUGCAAAGGUAGCAUAGUCAUUAGUUCUUUAAUUGUGAUCUGGUAUGAAUGGCUUGACGAGGCAUGGGCUGUCUUAAUUUUGAAUUGUUUAUUGAAUUUGGUCUUUGAGUUAAAAUUCUUAGAUGUUUUUAUGGGACGAGAAGACCCUAUAGAGUUUAACAUUUAUUAUGGUCUCUUUCUGUUUGUGAGGGUUCAUUAGGGCUGUUUAGUAUGUUUUGUUGGGGUGAUGGGAGGGAUAUUAUUUAACCCCUCCUUUUUGUUGUUAUAUUUAUUUAUAUUUGCUUGAUCCGUUUAUGUUGAUUGUAAGAUUAAAUUACCUUAGGGAUAACAGCGUAA